rnacentral:rRNA from 1 species
GACGAACGCUGGCGGCGUGCUUAACACAUGCAAGUCGAACGAUGAAGAAGAGAAACGCGAACUUCGGUUCAAAUUUCACUUCGGAUUAGUGGCAGACGGGUGAGUAACGCGUGAGCAACCUACCUCUUACAAAGGAAUAGCUUCGGAAAACGGUGAUAAAUACCAUAUAAAAACUUCAUAAGGAUUCUAAAGAAGGUAAAAGCUACGCCGGUAAGGGUUGGGCUCGCGUCCCAUUAGCUGGUUGGGAAGGUAACGGCCCACCAAGGCGACGAUGGGUAACCGGCCUGAGAGGGUGAACGGUCACAUUGGAACUGAGACACGGUCCAAACUCCUACGGGAGGCAGCAGUGGGGAAUAUUGCACAAUGGAGGGAACUCUGAUGCAGCGACGCCGCGUGAGCGAUGAAGGAAUUCGUUUCGUAAAGCUCUGUUCUAUGGGAAGAAAAGGACUGUACCAUAGGAGAAAGCCCCGGCUAAAUACGUG